UGGUGUUGUUGCUUGUUUCACAGAAAAUUAUAUUUUAAGAUCCCAAGUGUUGGGUACUCUGAACGGAGUAUUAAAAUGAAGCUACAGUGACUGCGUGUGGAGUGCAAACUUCAGGCAAAGCUUGUAGCAGGGAUAAUUGGGACAGACAGUAAAUGUCGCAGCAACGGAUGAUCACACAUUGGACAGAUUCAGAAGAACUGAUUACUUCAUAGGCUGCCUACAUCUGAAAGGACUGUGGAUUUGCUGAAGUGCUUUAUGAACUGUUGAAGAUUCACAUCAUAAGAGGCCCCUGAAAGCAAUAUGUGUGGCUCAGAGAGCAGCCCAAGCAAUCAGGAGGAUUUGUGGCUCUGGGCUGUUACUAUCAGUCGAUUCCCUCUAAGAGAGAUUCAACUAUUCAACAACGUCGAAAGUUGCCUACUUCAAAAGGAAAUAUGCGGAAGAGGAGGAUUUACAUGGAGACCUACAUGGUUGUUUAUCAAAACACCUGAUACGUCAGGAGGACCGCAGCUGCAUCCUCCAACUCUCAUUGGAGAAGCUGAGAUUCUUAGAGGACCCUGAAGCCUACCUGCGACGCUCAGUGCUCAUCAACAACCUGCUGAGAAAGAUCCACCAUGAGGAGGAGGAGGGUGAGACGGGGGAGGAAGAAGAAGAUGAAGAGAGGCAGGGGACCUGUGAUAGGGGCCCAGGCAGCCAGCGGCUGCUCUACCCAGACAGGAAGCGUGUAAAGGUGGUGGUGGCAGACUGCUGCUCUCAGUCCUUUGGACUGAAGGAGAUACCCCACUACCACCUGGUGGCCUACCCCUCCUCCACAUGCCUCUAUGGACUGGGCACAUGUCCCAGCUUCUCCCCUUCAACAGGGCACAAGUCCUGCUCUAUAAACUGGAUGAUAAUGGGUGACUCAGUGAAUUGCUGCCAAAGUACGGGUAGAACUUGAGAUGAACUAUGCACAUCGAAGUAAUUGGCAGGGAGUGGUUUGGUGACAGAACCCCCUAUUCAGUCAGAGCUGCCUUCUGCAUCUUGCACUCUGAUGCUAUCUACAUGCAAAAUGGGAGACUACAGCUUCUUAUGUGUGAUUUCUGACAGGGUCAACGGAGCAAGAGUCCGAAUCAGUGUCUGUGACAGCAUGGGCAGCGCCAUUUAGGCAAUCUCCAUUUUGAACAGUGGAGGUUGGAGGAGGACUGUUAUAGGAGGACUGUCUCAUUGUAAUGGCUGGAAUGGAAUAUGGAACAGAGUCAAACGUGGUUUCCAUACGUUUGAUGUGCUUGAUAUAGUUCCGUUUCUUCCAUUCCGGGCAUUACAAUGAACCUGUCCUUCUCUCAACCAGCUUCUUCUCUCAUGCCGUCAAAGGGUGGCUACUUUGAAGAAUCUCAAAUAUAAAAUAUAUUUUGAUUUGUUUUUGGUUACUACAGUACAUGAUUUCCUAUGUGUUAUUUCAUAGUGUUGAUGUCUUUACUACUAUUCUACAAUGUAGAACAUAGUAAAAAUAAAGAAAAACCCUUGAAUGAG